UUUAACAAAGUGUCUUCAUUCAGUAGGGGGCCGAACUAAAUACUCUGUGCAGCAACCCUUGCCUGGGUCAGGUCAAUCGGCUGCCAGCGUGUCAUUCCAGAAUGUACUGUUUGUUCUGUGGGGUUUAGGAGUUCUACAGUGGUUCUGCCCCAUCUUUCUAAAAAUACAGCUGGAGUGCAGUGGUGUGAUAUCGGCUCACGGCAACCUCUGCCUACCUGGUUCAAGUGAUUCUCCUGCCUCAGCCUCCCGAGUAGCUGGGCCUACAGGGUCACCAAGGAAGCCAGAGAGGAGGCUGCAGGGAAUAUGGAUUUAAAUGAAUUUUGGCUGUACCAUCAAGCAGUCUGAUCACUGAGGAAAUAUCAAAAGCUUCACCCGAGUGACUCAUCACCCAAAUUCAACAGAGACUUGCCAAAGAAGCUGCUUAUUUCACAGAAGGAUGGUGCUGGCUGAAAGAUACUUCCUUGAAACUGAGAGAUUGCUUCCUUAGACAGGUCUCCUUGAAGAGAAUCCCACUCUGUCAGCCCGGCUGGAGUGCAAUGGUGCAGUCUUGGCUCGCUGCAACCUCUACCUCCCAGGUUCAAGUGAUUCUCCUGCCUCAGCCUCCCAAGUAGCUAGGAUUACAGGCUUGCACCAGCACACCUGGCUAACUUUUUGUGUUUUUAGUAGAGACGGGCUUUCCCUAUGUUGGCCAGACUGGUCUCAAACUACUGGCCUCAAGUGAUUUACCCACCUUGGCCUCCCAAAUUUCUGGGAUUACAGGCAUGAGCCACCGAGCCCAGUCCUGACUCUGCCCUUGGGAAAGCUGAGAGUACAGUGUUAUAUGAAUAUCGGAUCUACCUAUGGAUUCAGCCGACCUAAAGUUGUUGAAUUCUUAAGCCACCACCCCCUUCUCACCAGCACAAGAUUUACUUUCAGAUCAUCAGUGCAUUAAUUGAACAAAUGGCAAAGAUCUUGCCAAAAUCUGAGAAGAUGUCCUCUGACCUUGCGCUUCUUGCUGCUGCCAUGAGAAGAAGGAUGUCUGCUUCCCCCUCUGCCAUGAUUAUUAAGUUUCCUGAGGCCUCCUGAGCCAUGCUGAACUAACCCAAGUUGAAGAAAUAGCCAGCAACUUUCUGGAACAUGCAGUUCUUAGAAUGGAUGUGUCAGAGCCAGAGUAUCAGCACCAAGUCGCAGAACUACCUUUCAAGCUUCUGCCCAAAUGCAGCAAAAAUCACAG